rnacentral:rRNA from 1 species
AGUGAACGCUGGCGGUAGGCCUAACACAUGCAAGUCGAACGGCAGCACAGUAAGAGCUUGCUCUUACGGGUGGCGAGUGGCGGACGGGUGAGGAAUACAUCGGAAUCUACUUUUUCGUGGGGGAUAACGUAGGGAAACUUACGCUAAUACCGCAUACGACCUACGGGUGAAAGCAGGGGAUCUUCGAACCUUGCUCUAUUGAAUGAGCCGAUGUCGGAUUAGCUAGUUGGCGGGGUAAAGGCCCACCAAGGCGACGAUCCGUAGCUGGUCUGAGAGGAUGACAAGCAACACUGGAACUGAGACACGGUCCAGACUCCUACGGGAGGCAGCAGUGGGGAAUAUUGGACAAUGGGCGCAAGCCUGAUCCAGCAAUACGGCGUGGGUGAAGAAGGCCUUCGGGUUGUAAAGCCCUUUUGUUGGGAAAGAAAAGCAGCAGGUUAAUACCCCGCUGUUCUGACGGUACCCAAAGAAUAAGCACCGGCUAACUUCGUG